rnacentral:rRNA from 1 species
GGAUGAAUGCUGGCGGCGUGCCUAAUACAUGCAAGUCGUACGGAAAGGCCCUUCGGGGUACUCGAGUGGCGGACGGCUGAGUAACGCGUGGGAACGUGCCCCAAAGUGAGGGAUAACGCACCGAAAGGUGUGCUAAUACCGCAUAUGGUCUUCGGAUUAAAGCUUCGGCGCUUUGGGAGCGGCCCGCGUACGAUUAGAUAGUUGGUAGGGUAAUGGCCUACCAAGUCGACGAUCGUUAACUGGUCUGAGAGGAUGAUCAGUCAGACUGGAACUGAGACACGGUCCAGACUCCUACGGGAGGCAGCAGUAAGGAAUCUUCCACAAUGGGGGCAACCCUGAUGGAGCAACGCCGCGUGCAGGAUGAAGGCCCUCGGGUCGUAACUGCUUUUAUGAGUGAAGAAUAUGACGGUAACUCAUGAAUAAGCACCGGCUAACUACGUGCCAGCAGCCGCGGUCAUACGUAGGGUGCAAGCAUUAUCCGGAGUGACUGGGCGUAAAGAGUUGCGUAGGUGGUUAGUAAAGUGAAUAGUGAAAUCUGGGGGCUCAACCUCACAGACUAUUAUUCAAACUCACUAACUCGAGAGUGGUAGAGGUAACUGGAAUUUCUAGUGUAGGAGUGAAAUCCGUAGAUAUUAGAAGGAACACCAAUGGCGUAGGCAGGUUACUGGACCAUUUCUGACACUGAGGCACGAAAGCGUGGGGAGCGAACGGGAUUAGAUACCCCGGUAGUCCACGCCGUAAACGAUGGAUACUAGCUGUUGGAGGUAUCGACCCCUUCAGUAGCGAAGCUAACGCGUUAAGUAUCCCGCCUGUGGAGUACGGUCGCAAGACUAAAACAUAAAGGAAUUGACGGGGAUCAGCACAAGCGGUGGAUCGUGUUCUUUAAUUCGAUGAUAAACGAAGAACCUUACCAGGGCUUGACAUCCAGGGAAGCACUACGAAAGUAGAGUGUGCCUUUUGGAACCCUGUGACGGGUGUUGCAUGGCCGUCGUCAGCUCGUGUCGUGAGAUGUUUGGUUAAGUCCAUCAACGAGCGCAACCCUUGUGAAUAGUUGUAUUUUUCUAUUCAGACUGCUCUAGUAAUAGGGAGGAAGGAGGGGAUGAUGUCAGGUCAGUAUUACCCUUACGUCCUGGGCUAGAAACACGAUACAAUGGCAAGUACAAUGCGCAGCGAAGCAGUGAUGUGGAGCAAAUCGCACCAAAGCUUGUCCCAGUUCGGAUAAGAGGCUGAAACUCGCCUCUUGAAGCCGGAAUCGCUAGUAAUCGCAAGUCAGCAAAUUGCGGUGAAUACGUCACUGAUCUUG